AGGUUUGCGAUGACUAGCCCCUCCUCGCUCCAGAGUAGGCACUCAAAAGGAAAUAUUGGACAAUUGAUGUCAACACCAAACAAGAAGUCAGUUUUCAUGUCCCGAAGCAGCCUGUGGAGAGUCCCACAUGAGUGAACUUGGAAGCAGAUAUGAACCCUGUCAACAGCGUGGUAUUUGAUUUGAAAUUACCCUUCCGACUUUUUUAUGGAUAAACAUGAAGCCAGAUAUUCACUACGACAGCUUGUUGAAGGAACGGAUGGUGAAGGCAUCACUUGUCUCAGUGCUGAAGUGCAGCCCUCAAUAAGCCUGCGGUUCAAUGAAGUGCUGUCUUUGUGACAGGAUGGAUGAGGCAGCUCACUAUGUACACAGAUGUCAUAUACUCCUCUUCACUUUGCCCAGUGGGAAUCAUCAAUUGGAAAAUUGGCAUAAGAAUGCUGAUAUUCUACCUACUGACCAAGGGGCCUCAUGUCUUCUACUAGCAUUUGUGAG